rnacentral:rRNA from 1 species
GUCUGUGUGAAGUUACAUAAAGUCUGACCUGCCCAUUGAAAAAUUAAAAGGCCGCGGUAUAUUAACUGUGCAAAGGUAGCAUAAUCAUUAGCUUUUUAAUUGAAGGCUUGUAUGAAGGGUUUGACAAAGAAAAAACUGUCUUUAUUUUAAUUUUUGAAGUUAACUUUUAAGUGAAAAGGCUUAAAUAAAUCAAAGGGACGAUAAGACCCUAUAAAUCUUAAUACUAUAUAAAUUUUUUUGUUUAUUAAUAUAUAAGUAGUAGAGAUUAGCAAAUAAAAUUAUAUGUAUUUUAUUGGGGUGAUGAGAAUAUAAAAUUAACUGUUCUUAAGAAAAACAAAGUUAUUUGAAAAAUUGGUAGAUCCUUUAUAGAGAUUAAAAGUUUAAGUUACUUUAGGGAUAACAGCGUUAUUUUUUUUGAGAGUUCUUAUCGAAAGAAGAGUUUGCGACCUCGAUGUUGAAUUAAGAAAUCUCUAUGGUGUAGGAGUUAUAGGGAGAGAGUCUGGUCGACUUUU